UACGUAGGGGGCAAGCGUUAUCCGGAUUUACUGGGUGUAAAGGGAGCGUAGACGGAAUUGCAAGUCUGAUGUGAAAAUCCGGGGCCCAACCUCGGAACUGCAUUGGAAACUGUAUUUCUAGAGUGUCGGAGAGGCAAGUGGAAUUCCUGGUGUAGCGGUGAAAUGCGUAGAUAUCAGGAGGAACACCAGUGGCGAAGGCGGCUUGCUGGACGAUGACUGACGUUGAGGCUCGAAAGCGUGGGGAGCAAACAGG
rnacentral:rRNA from 1 species